rnacentral:lncRNA from 1 species
AAGUUUACAAAUUUGUGUUGGACCACAUUCAAAGCUGUCCUGGGUGGCAUGAGAACCAUGGGCUGAGGAUUGGACAAGCUUGCUCUACAAUAUUCACAGAGCCAGAUUUCCUUCUGCACCAGAGCCUGUGGAAGCGCCACAGUGGAAGCAGCAGAGACUGGAAGAGCAGGCAAGAAGCUGGGAGCUUUGCACUGAACCAGGAAGUCACCACAGCUCUUAGGCAAAGACCCGGAAAGGUGUCAACAUGGCCACACUACUGCUCCCACCUUGUCCUUACUUUCCUCAUCUCAUCCCACAGGCCACAGAUCAGCCCUGGGGUUCAGAGGGAUCCUGACAGCUACUCCUCAAGAUCCUCUCUGUUGUGAUUCAUCCCCCCGGGGCCCUACAGUUUCUCCUUCCUGACUCUUACAUUUCUUUGGAUGGCAUCAUUAUUUACCUGUCUCCUCCCAUAGUUAGGUGCCAAGCACUGUGGAUUCUGCCUCUCAGUGUCCAGACACCCAUUUUCCUUCCCACUGUUCCUUCCCCAUGGAGAAGCCUGUGGCUGGCUGACAGCAGAGAGAGAUGCUCAACUUGGAGAAGGUGUUACCUGGGCCAGGUGGGGAAGGUUUGUUUGCAGAGCAAAGAAGUGAAGGAAGUAUUAACCCUUUGCAUGGCCUCCUGAGAAUCCGACAAGACGUAAAUAGCCAAGAAUAUCUGUGAAACUUCAUCACUGAGUUACAAUAUUUAUCACUGCAAGUGUGUUGUUCAUUGACACUAUAAAGCCAUGUGGAAUUAAGCAGCCUUGAAACACAAAAUGGAGAAAGGCUAAGAGCUGAGAAUUGUUGCCUUCAGGGAAAUACAAUC